UACAAACUUAUACAACUUUCAGCAACGGAUCUCUUGGCUCUGGCAUCGAUGAAGAACGCAGCGAAUUGCGAUAAGUAAUGUGAUUUGCAGAUUUUCAGUGAAUCAUCGAAUCUUUGAACGCACCUUGCGCUCCUUGGUAUUCCGAGGAGCAUGCC
rnacentral:rRNA from 1 species